rnacentral:rRNA from 1 species
AAUAUUGGACAAUGGGCGCAAGACUGAUCCAGCCAUGCCGCGUGUGUGAAGAAGGUCCNCGGCUUNUNAAGUACUUUAAGUUGGGNGGACGGGCAGUAAGUCAUUAUCUUGUUGUUUUGACGUUACCGACAGAAUAACCACCUGCUAACUUCGCGCCAGCAGCCGCGGGAAUACGAAGGGUGCAAGCGUUAAUCGGACUUAUGGGGCGUAAAACGCGCAGAGGUGGUUUGUUAAGUAGGAAGUGGAAGCACCGGGCUCAACCUGGGAAGUGCUUUCAAAACUGGCAAGCUAGGGGAUGGCAGAGGGUGGUGGAAUAACCUGUGUAGCGGUGAAAUGCGUAGAUAAAGGAAGGAACACCAGUGGCGAAGGCGACCACCUGGGCUAAUACUGACACUGAGGAACGAAAGCGUGGGGAGCAAAC